rnacentral:rRNA from 1 species
GAUGAACGCUGGCGGCGUGCCUAAUACAUGCAAGUCGAACGCUUUGUCUUUAAUUGAUAUGAAGAGCUUGCUCUGAUUUGAUUUUAUCUGACAAAGAGUGGCGAACGGGUGAGUAACACGUGGGUAACCUACCUCUUAGCAGGGGAUAACAUUUGGAAACAAGUGCUAAUACCGUAUAACACUAACAACCGCAUGGUUGUCAGUUGAAAGAUGGUUCUGCUAUCACUAAGAGAUGGACCCGCGGUGCAUUAGCUAGUUGGUAAGGUAAUGGCUUACCAAGGCGAUGAUGCGUAGCCGAGUUGAGAGACUGAUCGGCCACAAUGGGACUGAGACACGGCCCAUACUCCUACGGGAGGCAGCAGUAGGGAAUCUUCCACAAUGGGCGCAAGCCUGAUGGAGCAACGCCGCGUGUGUGAUGAAGGGUUUCGGCUCGUAAAACACUGUUAUAAGAGAAGAACGACAUUGAGAGUAACUGUUCAGUGUGUGACGGUAUCUUAUCAGAAAGGAACGGCUAAAUACGUG